UACGUAGGGGGCAAGCGUUGUCCGGAUUUAUUGGGCGUAAAGAGCGUGUAGGCGGCCUGACAGGUCUGCUGUGAAACUCGAGGCUCAACCUCGAGAUGUCGGCGGAAACCGUCUGGCUAGAGUCCGGAAGAGGAGAGUGGAAUUCCUGGUGUAGCGGUGAAAUGCGCAGAUAUCAGGAAGAACACCUAUGGCGAAGGCAAUCCCUGGACCUGUACUGACGCUCAUGCACGAAAGCGUGGGAGCGAACAGG
rnacentral:rRNA from 1 species